CGUGUAGGCGGUUGGUCAAGUCGGGUGUGAAAGCCUGGGGCUCAGCCCCAGAAGUGCAUCCGAAACUAGCCAGCUGGAGCGCGAUAGAGGAGGGUGGAAUUCCUGGUGUAGCGGUGAAAUGCGUAGAUAUCAGGAGGAACACCGGCGGCGAAGGCGGCCCUCUGGAUCGUUGCUGACGCUGAGACGCGAAAGCGUGGGGAGCAAACAGGAUUAGAUACCCUGGUAGUCCACGCCUUAAACGAUGGGUACUAGGUGUUCGGGGUGUUGACCCCCUGAGUGCCGCAGUUAACGCAUUAAGUACCCCGCCUGGGGACUACGGCCGCAAGGUUAAA
rnacentral:rRNA from 1 species